GCAGUCGACGAGAAGCACUUCGGUGCGAGUACAGUGGCGAAAGGGCGAGUAAUGCGUACCUAACGUACCUCCAGGUGCGGGAUAGCUCGGGGAAACCCGUGGUAAUACCGCAUAACCCCGUCGGGCCAUAUGGUCUGACAGGCAAAGGCUUGCUGCCUGGAGAUCGGGGUGCGUCCUAUCAGCUUGUUGGUGAGGUAACGGCUCACCAAGGCGAAGACGGGUAGCGGGUGUGAGAGCAUGACCCGCCGCAUCGGGACUGAGACACUGCCCGGACUCCUACGGGAGGCUGCAGUAACGAAUAUUCCGCAAUGCGCGAAAGCGUGACGGAGCAAUGCCGCGUGUGGGAUGAAGCAUCUAGGUGUGUAAACCACUGUCAGGUUUUAGGAAGUUCUGACCAGAACCAAAGGAAGAGCCGGCUAACUCUGUGCCAGCAGCCGCGGUAAUACAGAGGGCUCAAGCGUUAAUCGGAAUCACUGGGCUUAAAGGGUCCGCAGGCGGAUUGGCAAGUAUCUUGUGAAAUACCACGGCUCAACCGUGGAACUGCUGGGUAAACUGCCAAUCUUGAACACGACNGGGGCUACCAGAACUCUAGGUGGAGCGGUGAAAUGCGUAGAUAUCUAGAGGAAUGCCAGANGCGAAGGCGGGUAGCUGGGUCGUUGUUGACGCUCAGGGACGAAAGCGUGGGUAGCGAACGGGAUUAGAUACCCUGGUA
rnacentral:rRNA from 1 species